rnacentral:tRNA from 3 species
GCGGCACUAGCUCAGUUGGUAGAGCGCAACCUUGCCAAGGUUGAGGUCAUCAGUUCGAACCUGAUGUGCCGCU